AGAGUUUGAUCCUGGCUCAGAUUGAACGCUGGCGGCAGGCCUAACACAUGCAAGUCGAGCGGUAGAGAGAAGCUUGCUUUUCUUGAGAGCGGCGGACGGGUGAGUAAUGCCUAGGAAUCUGCCUGGUAGUGGGGGAUAACGUUCGGAAACGGACGCUAAUACCGCAUACGUCCUACGGGAGAAAGCAGGGGACCUUCGGGCCUUGCGCUAUCAGAUGAGCCUAGGUCGGAUUAGCUAGUUGGUGAGGUAAUGGCUCACCAAGGCGACGAUCCGUAACUGGUCUGAGAGGAUGAUCAGUCACACUGGAACUGAGACACGGUCCAGACUCCUACGGGAGGCAGCAGUGGGGAAUAUUGGACAAUGGGCGAAAGCCUGAUCCAGCCAUGCCGCGUGUGUGAAGAAGGUCUUCGGAUUGUAAAGCACUUUAAGUUGGGAGGAAGGGCAGUAAAUUAAUACUUUGCUGUUUUGACGUUACCGACAGAAUAAGCACCGGCUAACUCUGUGCCAGCAGCCGCGGUAAUACAGAGGGUGCAAGCGUUAAUCGGAAUUACUGGGCGUAAAGCGCGCGUAGGUGGUUUGUUAAGUUGGAUGUGAAAUCCCCGGGCUCAACCUGGGAACUGCAUUCAAAACUGACUGACUAGAGUAUGGUAGACGGUGGUGGAAUUUCCUGUGUAGCAGUGAAAUGCGUAGAUAUAGGGAGGCACACCAGUGGCGAAGGCGACCACCUGGACUAAUACUGACACUGUAGUGCGAAAGCGUGGGGAGCUAACAGGA
rnacentral:rRNA from 1 species